rnacentral:rRNA from 1 species
CGUGCCUAAUACAUGCAAGUCGAGCGAAUGAUGAAGAAGCUUGCUUCUUCUGAUUUAGCGGCGGACGGGUGAGUAACACGUGGGCAACCUACCUAGUAGAUUGGGAUAACUCCGGGAAACCGGGGCUAAUACCGAAUAAUCCAUUUUGUCACAUGGCAAAAUGCUGAAAGGCGGUUUCGGCUGUCACUACUAGAUGGGCCCGCGGUGCAUUAGCUAGUUGGUGGGGUAAUGGCCUACCAAGGCAACGAUGCAUAGCCGACCUGAGAGGGUGAUCGGCCACAUUGGGACUGAGACACGGCCCAAACUCCUACGGGAGGCAGCAGUAGGGAAUCUUCCACAAUGGACGAAAGUCUGAUGGAGCAACGCCGCGUGAGUGAUGAAGGUUUUCGGAUCGUAAAACUCUGUUGUAAGGGAAGAACAAGUACGUUAGUAACUGAACGUACCUUGACGGUACCUUAUUAGAAAGCCACGGCUAACUACGUGCCAGCAGCCGCGGUAAUACGUAGGUGGCAAGCGUUGUCCGGAUUUAUUGGGCGUAAAGCGCGCGCAGGUGGUUUCUUAAGUCUGAUGUGAAAGCCCACGGCUCAACCGUGGAGGGUCAUUGGAAACUGGGAGACUUGAGUGCAGAAGAGGAAAGUGGAAUUCCAAGUGUAGCGGUGAAAUGCGUAGAGAUUUGGAGGAACACCAGUGGCGAAGGCGACUUUCUGGUCUGUAACUGACACUGAGGCGCGAAAGCGUGGGGAGCAAACAGGAUUAGAUACCCUGGUAGUCCACGCCGUAAACGAUGAGUGCUAAGUGUU